AUACGGAGGGUGCAAGCGUUAUUCGGAAUCACUGGGCGUAAAGGACGCGUAGGCGGGUUGGCAAGUCAGAUGUGAAAUCCUACAGCUUAACUGUAGAACUGCAUUUGAAACUGCUAACCUAGAGUAUGGGAGGGGGAGAUGGAAUUAGUGGUGUAGGGGUAAAAUCCGUAGAUAUCACUAGGAAUACCGAAAGCGAAGGCGAUCUCCUGGAACAUAACUGACGCUGAGGCGCGAAAGCGUGGGGAGCAAACGGGAUUAGAAACCCUAGUAGUCC
rnacentral:rRNA from 1 species